GGUGAACGCUAGCGGUGCGCCUAACACAUGCAAGUCGAGCGGUAGAAUUUUUUAGCUUGCUAGAAAAUUUGAGAGCGGCGAACGGGUGAGUAACACGUUGGAAUCUGCCCCCAAGUCAGGGAUAGCCAUUGGAAACGAUGAUUAAUACCGGAUGUGCUCUUCGGAGUAAAGAUUUAUCGCUUGGGGAGGAUCCUGCGUACUAUCAGCUUGUUGGUAAGGUAACGGCUUACCAAGGCUAUGACGGUUAACUGGUCUGAGAGGAUGAUCAGUCACAAUGAAACUGAGACACGGUUCAUACUUCUACGGGAGGCAGCAGUGAGGAAUCUUCCACAAUGGACGAAAGUCUGAUGGAGCGACACCGCGUGAAGGAUGAAGGUCUAACGAUUGUAAACUUCUUUUCUGAGGGAGCAAAAUGAGAGUACCUCAGGAAUAAGGGACGGCUAAUUACG
rnacentral:rRNA from 1 species